rnacentral:rRNA from 1 species
AAUAUUGGACAAUGGGGGCAACCCUGAUCCAGCCAUGCCGCGUGUGUGAAGAAGGUCUUCGGAUUGUAAAGCACUCUAAGUUGGGAGGAAGGGCUUUAGGCUAAUACCUUGAAGUCUUGACGUUACCAACAGAAUAAGCACCGGCUAACUCUGUGCCAGCAGCCGCGGUAAUACAGAGGGUGCAAGCGUUAAUCGGAAUUACUGGGCGUAAAACGGUGGUAGGUGGUUCAGUAAGAUGGGUGUGAAAUCCCCGGGGUUAACCUGGGAGCUGCUUUCAUAACUGCUGAGCUAGAGUACGGUAGAGGGUAGUGGAAUUUCCUGUGUAGCGGUGAAAUGCGUAGAUAUAGGAAGGAACACCAGUGGCGAAGGCGGCUACCUGGACUGAUACUGACACUGAGGUGCGAAAGCGUGGGGAGCAAAC